rnacentral:rRNA from 1 species
CUGGGAAUCGUACACAAUGGGCGAAAGCCUGAUGCAGCAACGCCGCGUGCGCGAUGAAGGCCUUCGGGUCGUAAAGCGCUUUUCGGGGGGAUGAGAGAGGACAGUACCCCCGGAAUAAGUCUCGGCUAACUACGUGCCAGCAGCCGCGGUAAAACGUAGGAGGCAAGCGUUAUCCGGAUUCACUGGGCGUAAAGCGCAUGUAGGCGGUCUGGUAAGUCGGACGUGAAAGCUCCUGGCUCAACUGGGAGAGGCCGUUCGAAACUACCAGACUCGAGGGCAGUAGAGGGAGGUGGAAUUCCGGGUGUAGCGGUGAAAUGCGUAGAUAUCCGGAGGAACACCAGUGGCGAAGGCGGCCUCCUGGACUGUCCCUGACGCUCAGAUGCGAAAGCUAGGGGAGCGAACGGGAUUAGACACCCCGGUAGUCCUAGCUGUAAACGAUGCGGACUUGGUGUUGGUGGCUUAAACCCCAUCAGUGCCGCAGCUAACGCGAUAAGUCCGCCGCCUGGGGACUACGGCCGCAAGGCUA